UACGUAGGGUGCAAGCGUUGUCCGGAAUUAUUGGGCGUAAAGAGCUCGUAGGCGGUCUGUCGCGUCGGCUGUGAAAUCCCGAGGCUCAACCUCGGGUCUGCAGUCGAUACGGGCAAACUGGAGUGUUGCAGGGGAGACUGGAAUUCCUGGUGUAGCGGUGAAAUGCGCAGAUAUCAGGAGGAACACCAGUGGCGAAGGCGGGUCUCUGGGCCGAUACUGACGCUGAGGAGCGAAAGCGUGGGGAGCGAGCAGG
rnacentral:rRNA from 1 species